GUGUGUGUGUGUGUGUAUUUUAAUGUUUAACACUUAAGAAGCCAAUGGAACAGAUCAAAGCAUUAUAAUCAUCAUUGAAACAUUUGUGAGUAAUUUUUAACUGUAGUUGACGUUUGUUCUGGAGGGAGAGAAAUUUGAUGCAGUGAGGGGGAAUUGUAAAUUUUACAUGAUCUUUGCGUGCCAACCCUAUUGCUAUUGGCACCUUUUGUUGCAAGAUUUAUUUACUUUUGCAUGAGAGAGAGGGAGGGAGAGAGAGAACAGGUGUCUGAGAGAUCGGGUAUUGGGGGGAGCUUUUCCUUAUUGUAAUGGAGAGGAAGAAGAGAGACACGCGGAAUUGGAGAAGUUGAUAACGGUUUCUUUGGUUUUUUGCUGCCGUUUUGGGAGAAAUAUAAUUGU
rnacentral:misc_RNA from 1 species